UACGUAGGGGGCAAGCGUUAUCCGGAAUUACUGGGCGUAAAGCGUGCGUAGACGGUAGCGUAAGUCAGAUGUGAAAGCCCCGGGCUCAACCUGGGAACUGCAUUUGAGACUGCUCUGCUCGGGUGCGGAAGAGGGAAGCGGAAUUUCCGGUGUAGCGGUGAAAUGCGUAGAUAUCGGAAGGAACACCAGUGGCGAAAGCGGCUUCCUGGUCCGACACCGACGUUCAGGCACGAAAGCGUGGGGAGCAAACAGG
rnacentral:rRNA from 1 species